rnacentral:rRNA from 1 species
GAUGAACGCUGGCGGCGUGCUUAACACAUGCAAGUCGAACGAAGCUGUUAAAAGGAAGUCUUCGGAUGGAAUUUUAACAGACUUAGUGGCGGACGGGUGAGUAACGCGUGGAUAACCUGCCUUAUACAGGGGGAUAACGGAGAGAAAUUUCCGCUAAGACCGCAUAAGACCACAGCACCGCAUGGUGCAGGGGUAAAAUAUUAAUAGGUAUAAGAUGGAUCCGCGUCCGAUUAGCUUGUUGGUGAGGUAGAGGCUCACCAAGGCGACGAUCGGUAGCCGGCCUGAGAGGGUGAACGGCCACAUUGGGACUGAGACACGGCCCAAACUCCUACGGGAGGCAGCAGUGGGGAAUAUUGGACAAUGGGGGAAACCCUGAUCCAGCGACGCCGCGUGAGUGAAGAAGUAUUUCGGUAUGUAAAGCUCUAUCAGCAGGGAAGAAAAUGACG